GUUUAUAUAGUUUAAAUAAAACAUUACAUUUUCAGUGUAAAAUUGAGACUUCUCUUUAAAUA
rnacentral:tRNA from 1 species